rnacentral:rRNA from 1 species
AGAGUUUGAUCCUGGCUCAGAUUGAACGCUGGCGGCAGGCCUAACACAUGCAAGUCGAACGGUAGCACAGGAGAGCUUGCUCUCUGGGUGACGAGUGGCGGACGGGUGAGUAAUGCAUGGGGAGCUGCCCAAUCGAGGGGGAUACCAGCUGGAAACGGCUGCUAAUACCGCAUACGCCCUGAGGGGGAAAGGUGGGGACCUUCGGGCCUACCGCGAUUGGAUGCACCCAUGUGGGAUUAGCUAGUUGGUGAGGUAACGGCUCACCAAGGCGACGAUCUCUAGCUGGUCUGAGAGGAUGACCAGCCACACUGGAACUGAGACACGGUCCAGACUCCUACGGGAGGCAGCAGUGGGGAAUAUUGCACAAUGGGGGAAACCCUGAUGCAGCCAUGCCGCGUGUGUGAAGAAGGCCUUCGGGUUGUAAAGCACUUUCAGUAGGGAGGAAGGGUUGAUGUCUAAUACGCAUCAACAUUGACGUUACCUACAGAAGAAGCACCGGCUAACUCCGUGCCAGCAGCCGCGGUAAUACGGAGGGUGCAAGCGUUAAUCGGAAUAACUGGGCGUAAAGCGCACGCAGGCGGUUAGAUAAGUCAGAUGUGAAAUCCCCGGGCUCAACCUGUGAACUGCAUUUGAAACUGUCUGACUAGAGU